rnacentral:piRNA from 1 species
UGUCGGAAAAGUCGUUAUAAU